UAAGAUCUCAUUGUUUGCAAGCUUCACUGCUGCUGUAACAUAUUUUGUAUAUGUACUUGUUUGUGGGGCAUUCUAGUUUCGUGCUCCAAUCAAUUGUAUCAAGUAUCCUAUAUUCACUUGUUGUUAAAAUGUUUAUUGGACAGGAGACUUAUUAUAUUGUUAGGCUGCGUACUCACCAUCGGAAGAAGUAUUCAGGGCGUGCGAGGGUUGUCAUUGAGCUCUUACUUAGAAAUAGUGAUAAUUACUUGGUUGCAUGGAGGCUUAUUCAUGAAGCUGCUGACUACAAAACAGCGUAUUGGUGCCUGUUCACUGAUACUCGUACUCUAAAUCAAAAAGGGCUUCUCAAAAAUAAGUGCAAACAUACCAAAUAUACAAAUGGGUACAGAAAGCAUCUGUAUGUAUUUCUUGUCUCCUUUCCUGUUUGUGUUCAUUUGUUUGCUUUGUAUUCAUUUUAUUUUUGGGUUUUGUAUGACACCAUUUCAUUUCUCCAUGCAGAGGGAAGGUCAAAAUUUAUGAUAAAUUUCUGCUUGAUGCCGAAUAAUUUUUGCGAAAGCUUUACGCUGCCCCUGCAGCGGAACCAACAGAUGAAGGGUACCGCAUAUUCCAGACUCUGUUUGUGCUGUUCGGUGAAGGUCCAAGAUUUGGUCCGGUGGACAGUCGCACGUUUCAGUCAAUCCUAAAAUCCAUAUCUGAUGUGGCUGCCAUUGGGAAUGGCCGGCUGCAUAAUCUGAUCAAGAACUGGAGGAGCAUGAGCUUUACAACUUUGGUCUUGCACUUACUUCUCUUGGAGGAAGCCAUCAUUGACAAAAUAGUAAGAGAGCGUGGACAUGUGCUGGAUGGGAAGUUUUGCCGUCUGGUUGAUGAAGUUCAGAUUCACCGUACAGUGCUGGCCAAGCGCUUUUGUUCUCUGUUUGCAAAUGUGAAGGAAUUGAACUCGUACCCAGCAUUGAGAUGUGAGGCACACAGGGUUCCUGUUGAAGCUGAUAAUCAAUUGGGGCCUUUCACAAUUGCAAUCUCUGACCCUUCUGCCCGUGGCCAUAUGACCUUGGAACAGUUGACAGAUAACUUCUUGUACCUUUUGAGGUUUGAUUACGAGCUAGUCCUUGGAAUUCUAGCAAGGAUGGAGGGCUUUGAUGAUGUCCUCAACCUCAAGACGCUAAGCGUCUCACAAGAAACAACAGAUCAAGUUCAGUUUGCUACAAAGACCUUCUGAUGUAGCUAGUUCCUGGAACUCUAGCAAGGAUGGAUGGCUUCGAUCAUGUGCUCAACCUCAAGAUUAAGCGGCUGACAAGCAACAAGAGUUCCAAGUUUAGUUUGCUACAAAGACCUUCUGAUGUAGUUCAUGGAAUUCUAGCAAUGAUGAAUGGCUUCGAUCAUGUCGUCAACCGACGCUAAGCGGCUGACAAGCAACAAUAGUUCAAGUUUAGUUUGCUACAAAGGCCUUCUGAUGCUCAACCUCAAGAUUAAGCGGCUGACAAGCAACAACAGUUCCAAGUUUAGUUUGCUACAAAGACCUUCUGAUGUAGUUCAUGGAAUUCUAGCAAUGAUGGAUGGCUUCGAUCAUGUCCUCAACCUCAAGACGCUAAGCGGCUGACAAGCAACAAUAGUUCAAGUUUAGUUUGCUACAAAGGCCUUCUGAUGUAGCUAGUUUAUGCUAGCAUUGAUGGAUGGAUUCGAUCAUGUGCUCAACCUCAAGACGUUGAUGAUUUACCACGUUUGUUUGUGUUUAACCAUUUGACUACACAACAUUUGUAAUAAUAUAUGUAGUAGCUACCUGGUACAUUGCGUAGUUAUGUCGCAAACCGAUGACUGGAGGGCUCUUUCUUUUGCUAAUCAACUCAUUGGUCUUAUUUUCUCCAUCCUUUGAACUGAAGCGCUCUUUCUUUUGUAUAACCACGUCCAUAUGAUGCAUGCUUGCAUGGCCUAAUUGCUGUAUAAUGCAUCCAAAAUCUGAUUGAGGACAACGAAACCUCUUUGCGACAAGCCGAGAUUUCUAAAUGGUG
rnacentral:lncRNA from 1 species